CUGAAGGAGCUGGUGGAGGAGCCGUGCUGAAGGCCCUGCCUGGUGGAGGAGCUGGUGGAGGCCCUGCCUGGUGAAGGACGUCUGUCGUGGGACCAGGACUCUGUCUGAGGAGAGCUGCUGGAGGAGCUGAGACGCUGGAGGACGACUAGGGAUCGACCAACCAGGAUUCCUCAACGUGUUUCUGGAGCGGAGGCGAGCUGGUAGGGGAGCCGUGAAUCUGGAGGAUGACCAUCACUCUACCAACAAGGACUACUUUAGGGCCAGACUCGCGCUGUUUGUUCCAGACCAGGACUCUGGCUGAGGAGAGCUGAUGGAGGAGCCAAGACUCUGGAGGACGACAUCACUCCACCAACCAGGAUCCUC